UGGACGCAAGUCUGAACCAGCCAUGCCGCGUGCAGGAAGACGGCUUAUGAGUUGUAAACUGCUUUUGUACGAGAGUAACGCUCUUACGUGUAAGAGCCUGAAAGUAUCGUACGAAUAAGGAUCGGCUAACUCCGUGCCAGCAGCCGCGGUAAUACGGAGGAUCCAAGCGUUAUCCGGAUUUAUUGGGUUUAAAGGGUGCGUAGGCGGUUUGAUAAGUUAGAGGUGAAAUACCGGUGCUUAACACCGGAACUGCCUCUAAUACUGUUGAACUAGAGAGUAGUUGCGGUAGGCGGAAUGUAUGGUGUAGC
rnacentral:rRNA from 1 species